rnacentral:tRNA from 1 species
GGCCAGUUAGCUCAGUCGUCUGAGCAUGGUGCUGACAACACCAGGGUCACGGAUUCGAUUCCCGCUCGGUCCC